rnacentral:rRNA from 1 species
GUACACGCUGUGACUAGCAUAUCAAUAAGCGGAGGAAAAGAAACUAACAAGGAUUCCCCUAGUAACGGCGAGUGAAGCGGGAAGAGCUCAAAUUUGAAAUCUUAAAGGGUUUCCCUUUACGAAUUGUAGUUUAAAGAAGUGUUUUCUGUUGAGGUUUUGGUAAAAGUUCUUUGGAAUAGGACAUCAUAGAGGGUGAGAAUCCCGUAUUUGACCUUUACUUUCAACUUUGUGAUACACUUUCAAAGAGUCGGAUUGUUUGGGAAUGCAGUCCAAAAUGGGUGGUAAAUUUCAUCUAAAGCUAAAUAUUGGCGAGAGACCGAUAGCGAACAAGUACCGUGAGGGAAAGAUGAAAAGAACUUUGAAAGGAGAGUUAAACAGUACGUGAAAUUGUCAAAAGGGAAGCGUUUGACACCAGUGUUGUUUUUCUGAAAAUCAAUUAAAGAACUGUUUAUGCUAAGUUGUUUAGACUUUAUCAGCUAACUGUUUAGUUUUGAGCUUCUCUUUAAUGCACCUUUUCAGUUAACAAGUCAACAUCAAUUUCUUUUGCUGUAAAAAAGCUUGAGGAAGGUGGCUUGAGAUUCGUCUUAAGUGUUUAUAGCCUCUUGCCUAUGCAGUCGGAGAGAUUGAGGUCUGCAGCGUAGAUCCUUCGGGGCUAAAUGCAUUUGUGCUAAGUUAUAGCAUUUUAUAGACAACUUGUUGACUAUGAUUUGUCUUGUAGCUUACUCGCUUAUGUUAUUUUACCUACGCUUAGGAUGUUGAAGAUGUAGCACAUCAU